rnacentral:lncRNA from 1 species
UGUAUGCAAACUAGACUCCUAAUUAAAGUCCAAUAAUGUAAGACUUUGAACCUAUUCACUGCCUUUGGAAAUAAUCACAGAUGCUGGCUGCUUAUCAUGAAAAAGUCAUUAUGGUAAAUGACCAACUCCCCCACCUUCUCCUUUCCAUCAAGUGCAAAAGUGAUUCUCCAUUGCAGGGAUUUGCAAAUGGUGCAUGUUGCAGAGUCAAAUGUCUCCUGGUGGCUGUAAUUGUGAUGCAAAUUAUCUUGGUUACAGGAAGAAUGAAAUUUAUAGAGCUCCUGUCAUAUGUGAAUUUGCAAGCAUGUACCAAAUUUGAAGAGGGUGGACACUCAUGUUGAUCUGAGGGGACCUCGAGAACUCUUGAUGGCAAUUUGGAUAUGGCAGUGAUGAAGGAUGAAUGACCUUCCUCCCACUCUCUAUUCUUCCUCGCUUGCUUUGCUGAUUCUUUUGUGGGAGGAUGGAUAGGAGACACAGAGAGGGAAUUGAAAAAGAAUGAUGAAGUCAAAAAUAGGUCAGAAGAAGGAAAUACUCAGGAACCAAAUAUUAGUUGCAGAUCUGAAGAACUGAAGUUGAUUUGUUUGUCAAAGGUAAGGAAUGCAGGAAACUGCUGGUUUGCAAACUGGGUUGGUACUGGAAGUACUGGCUUGGAGGGCAAGGAGACACCAAAGAGAAAGGCGACCACUCCAGAUAGGUGGAGGUAAGGCAGGCGGUUUUAAAAAGCAAGGCGGGGGCGCCUGGGUGGCUCAUUCGGUUGAGCGUGGGACUUCAGCUCAGGUCAUGAUCUCAUGGUUUGUGGGUUCCAGCCCCAUGUUGGGCUCUGUGCUGAUAGCUCGGAGCCUGGACCCUGCUUCAGGCUCUGUCUCCCUCGCUCCCUGCCCCUCCCCCCACCUGUUUGCUUGUGCGCGCGCUCUCUCUCUCUCUCAAAGAUAAACAUUAAGAAAAAGUUUUUUUAAAACAAGGGAAUUUACGAGGGUGGUCUUGGACUCGGCAUGAUGAGGAGGUCCCCGCAUCUGCUUGCCAGAAUCUUACAAGUGUACACAGAGGCCUUAGCUGGGUUGGGCCAACAGUAUACAGUAUAGUACUCUCUCAUGGCUGUGUCCCAGAAAGCGGUCCCCCUGCAAGAAUGGUCGGGAAGAACCACAGUUCACUCCCCCCCCCCCCCGGGGCGGGGGGGGGGGGCGCUGGGGUGGGAGAGGGGAAUGUUGAGGAGCUUUGAUAGCCUGGGGCCUGCUGGUGGGUCAACCGGAGGUCACGUCCUCUCGCUGACCUCUUCCCACAGAUGAUCUAAGGGUUUUAGGAACUGUGCCAGGAGGAAGACCAAAUUAUAUCUUACUAUACAUCACAACAUCACAAGCUGCUUUACAUUAAAGCCUCUGUGGGUGAUUUUUGCCUCUCUGUGGAUCUAUCCUUGAGGGAAUGUUAUCCCUGAGAUUUUAUUUGUAUUUUUUGAAUUAUUUUGAAUAUGAUUACUGUUCUGUUCGAAAACUGUAGCUUUUACUUUAGUUAAUUGACUUUAGAGGGGUUUCUUGCAUUGUUAAAGGUGAUUUUUAUUUAGAUUUAGGGCUAAAAUAUUUCCUGUGGGGAACAAAUCUUUGGUUUUAUAAUGUAAGUCAAUGAAAAAAUAGGUUUUGAUUAAAAGAAUAUUGGUUUAUGGUCAGUUUUUUUUUUUUACAGGAAUUGGGACAAUUGCAUUAGAUGAGAUUGCCCUGUAUACCUGAGUACCUACUCUUCAACUGUUAUUUACUGUUUACAAUAUAGUUAUUUUUCAGUGCUCUCUUUAUUUUCUUAGGUUCCUUCUCCAUUCAGACUAUUGGAGUUUGGGUCCCUAAUUAUGCAAUAUUUAAGUCAAGUAAUAUGAAGAAUAUAAAAGCAUUUUGGAAACUAUCAUACUGUAAAAAUAUAAAAUAUUAAUAUUAUGGAGACUCCUUCUGAACCUUCUGUGCCAUGCCUAGGUUCUCAAGAGGUUUGGGAAUAUCUUAAGGAUAUUCUGAUUGUAUACUAUUCUCUGCCUAGAAUGAGCCCUACCCAGAAUUUCUGCCUCCUAGCCUGGUAGCUUGAGGUGAGCAGAUUCGAAUGUGAUGUUUACAUUUAUCUGUCUUCUGUAAAUUCAGGCCAGGGGGUGGAGCUGGAACUGGCGAGAAAGAUGUAUCUGGGAAAAGAUUCUUGCCUGUUUUCCUUAAUGCUAAUUUUAUGCAGACUGCUGAGCUGUUUUAUCUGUAUAUUCGAUUUUGGUGAUGACCUCCCUCAAGGUGAUUAUAAGAGCAGCAUAAGGAUCAUGUCUCCUUCUCUUCAUUGCUGUUUUAAUCAGGUUGCUAUUAGGAGAUAGAAUUCAACCUAGAUGGGUCAAGUUAAGGAACGCUCGGGGUGCCUGGGUGGCUCCGUCAGUUGAGUGGCCAACUUUUGAUUUCAGCUAACAUCAUAAUCUCAGGGUUCAUGGGAUGGAGCCCCGUGUCAGGCUCUGGAGGGACAGUGUGGGAUCUUCUUGGGAUUCUCUCUCUCUCCCUCUCUCUCUCUGCCCCUCCCCUGCUCAUACUCUCUCUCUCUCUCUCUCUCAAAAUAAAUAACAUUAAAAAUAUUAAGGAAAUAUCA